rnacentral:rRNA from 1 species
UUGCAGGGUAUAGACCCGAAACCCGGUGAUCUAGCCAUGGGCAGGUUGAAGGUUGGGUAACACUAACUGGAGGACCGAACCGACUAAUGUUGAAAAAUUAGCGGAUGACUUGUGGCUGGGGGUGAAAGGCCAAUCAAACCGGGAGAUAGCUGGUUCUCCCCGAAAGCUAUUUAGGUAGCGCCUCGUGAAUUCAUCUUCGGGGGUAGAGCACUGUUUCGGCUAGGGGGUCAUCCCGACUUACCAACCCGAUGCAAACUACGAAUACCGAAGAAUGUUAUCACGGGAGACACACGGCGGGUGCUAACGUCCGUCGUGAAGAGGGAAACAACCCAGACCGCCAGCUAAGGUCCCAAAGUCAUGGUUAAGUGGGAAACGAUGUGGGAAGGCACAGACAGCCAGGAUGUUGGCUUAGAAGCAG